rnacentral:lncRNA from 1 species
UGUAAUCCCACCUACACCUCUUUUCUUUACAAAUUAGUCUGUGCUAUUGUUACAGAAGCAGCAAACAGACUUAGGAGCUAGAGUCCCACUGGCCUUUUAUGACUCAAGCAGGCUUCAAGUAUUUAAAUGAUUUUGUGUUAAAAUCAACCCCAGAGGCUAACAUCACUGGCUUAGAAGUCUGAGAGCUGACAAAUUAAAACCUAACAGCAAUUAUCCAUAUUUUUAGCAUAAGAAAGUCUUAGCAUUUUGUUGCCAUAGAGAUCAAAAAAGGAGCCCCACAGAGCCCUGCCCCUGAAUUCAGGCCUUCUCAUUUGGUCCCUAAGCUGGGUGAGACAGCCGCUCUCCCACCCCCUUAUUAUUAAGACAGUGGUAGGUGCACCUUCCCUUUCACAGAGGUAUUUCUGGAAUACUCAGUUCCCUAGAAUUCACUGGUCCCAGGCCUGUGUUAUCCCAGGCAGAGCCACAUGGAAAGCAGGAGUUGAGGGGACUGACAGAGGAACAACAGUAGACAUCAGGUCAGGAGAACCCUGCUGUUAUACAAGACCCAAACCCCUUUGGAUAUUGGAUUGGGAUUGCUACUACAAAGAGGGUCAAAGGCAGGUACAAAGGCCAAUAGAGUUCAGAAAGCUCAGCUUAGCUCUGGUACUUAACUCUUCAAGAUCACAACCCCCCCCCCCCCCCACUAGAAAAAAACAAGUGUAGAAUGCAGUACUGUCAUAGUGCCAUCUGCUGGAAAGAUAAGAUCUGUCAUUAGGCACAGAGAAGGAGGCUGUUAAGUCUAAGUCUGUCCUGGUGCUGCAACUUGGCUGUUUGGGUAAUUCUGUCCAGUGGGUAGUUGGGAUGGAGAUAGUUAAGAUGAAGACAGACGGAGAAGACAACCAUAGAUCAACAGUGUAAUGCAGAUACAGAAUGGGAACCCCACCCAGGUGUGAGUUUUCAUUUUUCUUUCUAAAGGUGGUUAAAUAAAUAAAAGAAACACAAUGAUGUUACUAAUGUUUUAUAUCCCUAGAAACAUCAUAAGUUGGGCUAAUGAGAAGUUGUCAGACACACAACAAAGACCACACACAAAUGGGCAACAGCUGCCACAAGGAGGAGGCUUGCCUUUUGUACAAAGUUUAUAUAUAUAUAUAUAUAUAUAUAUGUAUAUAUAUUUAUGUACACAGACACAAGGGUAUAAAAUCCAGUGAGAAGGGCUCACACAUGCCCAGGUAAGGGAUGGGAGUAGCUUUAAUUGCCAGGGUUGAGGCCACAGUAGAGGCACACAGAAGUGGUAGAGUAGCAGCCUCCCUCCAUCCUCCUGCCUCGGGCCAAAGGGAGGAAAUGGGAGGAAGGACAAGUAUACAAAGGAAGAUGGAAGAUACUGGAAAGGCAUACUCCACCUUUUACUAAAUUCCUGAAAGCCCCUAAAUGCCUCACAGGACAGAUCACUCUCACGCCUCCUGGCAGGACAGAUCACUCUGAGGCCUCCUGGCAGGAUAGAUCACUUCCAUGCCUCCUAGCAAGAUGCUGAGCCUACAGUAGGUCUGGCCUCAAGCUGCUUCAAGCUAAGGUCUGAGGCUGGCUUCUCAAUGCACGUCCAUGCUAUCUCCCAGGGCCCUUGUAGCAGAAAGAGCACCUUCAAGGUUCACCCACAAACUCAGUCCUCUUGAUUCAGAGGUCCUAAGGGUUUUCCUUGACAGACUAAAGGUUAAAGGUACAGGAAAAGGAGAGAGGUCAGUUCCUUCAGUUAAUGCCCUAUGGCCUUCCCAAUGGGGGAGGAAUUGAGGAAUCACUAAGGUGUUGGAAAGGGCAAGAAGGUAAUCUCAGAGACGAUACGCAUGGAGAAACAGGUAUUCAAUGCAGGUGUGGAUUCUGUUCUCUUCAACUGGCGGCUUUGCUCAGCAGAGUCCAUUUCCAGUGGGACCAUGGGCAGGAGCUCUUCUUGGUAUCUUAAGGGUGGCCCCAAUUUCCUCAGAGACAAUGUCCAUGCCCUCAGGAUGGCUUGGUCCACAAAAUGGAGAAAUGGGGCCAUGGAAGAGUAGAUGUGAAGUGGCAGGAUCCAGAGGCACAAGGAGGCAGUAUACUGUGCCACUGAUUUACCUGUGGAAAGAAGAGGUAAAUGGGAAGCCAAAGGAAAGAGAAUAAUCAAAGGCUAGAAUGAGCUAGACCCUGAGACUCACAUGGUCUGGGGGGUAAAGAGGCUGGAGAGCUGGAAACACUGGGAGGCAAGGUUCAGGGCUGGACUCAGAGCUAGAACAAAGACAGGCAGAGUGAGUGAGCAAGCACCGCGCACUCCUUCUUUCCAGACCCCCAAACCUUCCCUUCCUUUCCCAUGUCCAAGACUACCAGUCAGAGCUGCUGGAUUCAGGGCCCCCAAGGGAACUGCUCCAUUCAGUUGCAAGGCAGCAGCUUGGGCGGCGGCGGCAGCAGCAGCAGCAGCAGCAGUAGCAGUGCUUGG